UCAGGACGAACGCUGGCGGCAUGCCUAACACAUGCAAGGUCGAACGGGGGUAGCAAUACCCUAGUGGCGAACGGGUGAGUAGCACAUAAGCAAUCUGCCCUUCACAGGGGGAUAACAGCGGGAAACUGCUGCUAAUACCGCAUAAGACCACGGUACCGCAUGGUACAGGGGUAAAAACGAAUCAGUGGUGAAGGAUGAGCUUAUGUCCCAUUAGCUAGUUGGUGAGAUAACAGCCCACCAAGGCGACGAUGGGUAGCCGACCCGAGAGGGUGAUCGGCCACACUGGAACUGAGACACGGUCCAGACUCCUACGGGAGGCAGCAGUGGGGAAUAUUGGGCAAUGGAAGGAAACUCUUACCCAGCAAUGCCGCGUGAGUGAAGAAGGUCUUCGGAUUGUAAAGCUCUUUGAUUGGGGACGAAGAAAGUGACGGUACCCAAAGAACAAGCCCCGGCUAACUACGUGCCAGCCGCGGC
rnacentral:rRNA from 1 species